UACGUAGGGGGCAAGCGUUGUCCGGAAUUAUUGGGCGUAAAGCGCGCGCAGGCGGCCGUGUAAGUCCUGUGUGUAAACCCGGGGCUCAACCUCGGGACGCACGGGAAACUGGACGGCUUGAGUGCAGGAGAGGAAAGCGGAAUUCCACGUGUAGCGGUGAAAUGCGUAGAGAUGUGGAGGAACACCAGUGGCGAAGGCGGCUUUCUGGCCUGUAACUGACGCUGAGGCGCGAAAGCGUGGGGAGCGAACAGG
rnacentral:misc_RNA from 1 species